UGACCGCUGGCGGCGUGCCUAAUACAUGCCAGUCGAGCGAACGGACGAGAAGCUUGCUUUUCUGAUGUUAGCGGCGGACGGGUGAGUAACACGUGGAUAACCUACCUAUAAGACUGGGAUGACUUCGGGAAACCGGAGCUAAUACCGGAUAAUAUUUUGAACCGCAUGGUUCAAAAGUGAAAGACGGUCUUGCUGUCACUUAUAGAUGGAUCCGCGCUGCAUUAGCUAGUUGGUAAGGUAACGGCUUACCAAGGCAACGAUGCAUAGCCGACCUGAGAGGGUGAUCGGCCACACUGGAACUGAGACACGGUCCAGACUCCUACGGGAGGCAGCAGUAGGGAAUCUUCCGCAAUGGGCGAAAGCCUGACGGAGCAACGCCGCGUGAGUGAUGAAGGUCUUCGGAUCGUAAAACUCUGUUAUUAGGGAAGAACAUAUGUGUAAGUAACUGUGCACAUCUUGACGGUACCUAAUCAGAAAGCCACGGCUAACUACGUG
rnacentral:rRNA from 1 species